rnacentral:rRNA from 1 species
UACGUAGGGCGCAAGCGUUAUCCGGAUUCAUUGGGCGUAAAGAGCGUGUAGGCGGCCUGAAAGGUCAGCUGUGAAAACUCGAGGCUCAACCUCGAGACGUCGGUUGAAACCAUCUGGCUAGAGUCCGGAAGAGGAGUGUGGAAUUCCCGGUGUAGCGGUGAAAUGCGCAGAUAUCGGGAAGAACACCCGUGGCGAAGGCGGCACUCUGGGACGGUACUGACGCUGAGACGCGAAAGCGUGGGGAGCGAACAGG